rnacentral:rRNA from 1 species
UACGGAGGGGGCUAGCGUUGUUCGGAAUUACUGGGCGUAAAGCGCGCGUAGGCGGCUUUGUAAGUUAGAGGUGAAAGCCCGGGGCUCAACUCCGGAAUUGCCUUUAAGACUGCAUCGCUAGAAUUGUGGAGAGGUAAGUGGAAUUCCGAGUGUAGAGGUGAAAUUCGUAGAUAUUCGGAAGAACACCAGUGGCGAAGGCGACUUACUGGACACAUAUUGACGCUGAGGUGCGAAAGCGUGGGGAGCAAACAGG